AGAGCCAAGAGAUUUGCAUUUGGAAGCGCCCCGUCCUCUUGCGCGUCUGGCGAGAAAGGAGAGCCUGGUGACCGACCGAGCUGCAUUUCUGGAGCAGUUGCUGGGUUUUUGCCUCGCUGAAGCAUGAGUAGCACCAGGGAAGUGGAGGCGAGGGAAAGGGAAUCCUGUCACCGAGCGGACACCUGCUCCUGCGCCCCCCCGCCCACGCCCGGGCCGCAGGCGCUGGCUCGCCCUCUCCAUCUGCCCUGCCGGCGGCGUUGCCCGCCCCGUCCGCCCCGCCCAUCCUUCCUCCAGGGCUGUGGAGAGAAUGGUGUGGGGACUGCAGGAAGCCCCGAAAACUAGACCAGUGCGGGUGCUGGGGAGCCAUAGGCCAGAGUUUUUUUUAAUCUUUCUCUGGAACCGACUCUCAGUUGCAGAACCGAGUUUUGAGCUCGGUGUAAAGUUUAAAUUGCAGUCUACAAGCUGUUUCAAAGCGCGGCUUAAAACAAACUUAAAGCCACUCCUUGGGACUGGCUAACCGGGGGCAGAAGUCACUGCCCUUCCCUCCAGCUGCCUCACUUCUCCGUGUAACUGAAAGGCUGAGGAUCAGCAGGCAUGGAAAACUCUCAUCUUAGCCAUGAGUGAAAGAAAGUCCUGAGCAGUAGUAAGCAGUACUUCAGUUAAAUGCUGGUCAUCCUCCUGCUAAUGGUGCUGGUUUCUCCUUCAACUGGAACUGCGAAGGAAGGUGUGGGGCAGGUGGCUGACAUGUAAAGAUCCC
ensembl:lncRNA